ACAAGUUUAUAUCUGUUGACUUACAAUGCUUUUUUGCUUGCAAUUGACGGAGGGUGUUCUCAUAGAUCAGACAUGAAAUCAAAAUGUACAGAAUAAGGUCAACUUCAAACGAAAAUUUUCUUGGGAACCUUAAACCAACUUACAACUUUCAACGAGCUUUGACUGGAGUGACAACAGGGGAGACUUCCUCAGUUUCGAACUUGGAUACCCAAGAUUUUUCACUCAUGUGAGGAGAUGAUUGACUGAGUACACUGAGGUUGAAGACAACCUCCCCCAUCGUUGGUCUCUCCAAGGAAUUCUCCGACGUACAAGCUGUAGCCAACAUUGUCAAGCUUAGAGCGUCAUCAAUGGGCAUCACAACUUCACCAUCAUCCUUCGUCUCCAUGACUUUCUUUCCUGAGAGCAACUCCAGGAGCACGACUCCAAAAGAGAACACAUCAAUGUUUAACAUGACAGAUGAAGUAGCUGGUCUUGCUGCAGAUAAAUUU